GUGGUGCCGGCGUGCACUGCGCACACGUGUAAACCCCAAAGGCGUAGACAACUCGAACAAGUCUAAGGGAUUACGGGUUCGGCACUGGCGCAAGCCUUCGUCGGGCCCCUCCAUCCCGGGGUGUCCCACCGAGCGAGCCUCCGGGCCCGCUGUUGGGCAUCCCUCGAGUGCGUAGGAUGCGACCCGAAAGAUGGUGAACUAUGCCUGAUCAGGCCGAAGUCAGGGGAAACCCUGAUGGAGGGCCGAAGCAAUUCUGACGUGCAAAUCGAUUGUCAGAGUUGGGCAUAGGGGCGAAAGACCAAUC
rnacentral:rRNA from 1 species